rnacentral:rRNA from 1 species
UACGUAGGGGGCAAGCGUUUGUCCGGAUUUAUUGGGCGUAAAGAGCUCGUAGGUGGUUCGGUAAGUCGGAUGUGAAAUCUCCAGGCUCAACUUGGAGCGGUCAUUCGAUACUGCCGUGACUAGAGUUCGGUAGGGGAGUGUGGAAUUCCUGGUGGAGCGGUGAAAUGCGCAGAUAUCAGGAAGAACACCCGUGGCGAAGGCGGCUCUCUGGAACGCAACUGACGCUGAGACGCGAAAGCGUGGGGAGCAAACAGG